UCCAGGCUGCCCUGCUAUCUCCUGCGGUUCAUCCCAGCCAUCCAGGAGGAGAAGGGGUGUGUGUGAGGGGAGCAGCAGCACAGAAAUAGCCUGCAGUGUUUAGAAGGGAGGACCCCAAGGAAGUGCCCAGGCUAAUCGACCAAAAACUCCUGCUGGGACAUUGCUCUUGCUUCCAGUUGCUUCGGUCUGCCUCUCAUCUCAACUCUGGCUACAGAAAUAUGUGUGUCCCUUCGCAAGCUCGCUGUUUUAUUUUUAAAAGUAUUCUGCUCUACUGUGAGCCAUGAACAGAAGCUCCCCUUGUGGAACAAAGAGUUAAUCUCCCUGCAGUGGCAUCCUGUCAGCCCCUCGGAACCUGUGUCAGCGUUCUCCUUCCCGCUCCCCCUGUGGACUGCCUCUGGCUCACUCGCUGCACACAAAGGCUCCUCUGUUUCUGGCCGGGCUGGAGUCACAUGCUUUCACUCUUAACCCCGGAGCUUUAAAGCUAAACACCCACCCUCUUUGGCCCCAGAUGACCCUGUUUACGUCUGCUGAGCCAAUUCCAAACAGCAACAGUAGUGAAAACUUCUGUCGGGAGAGACUUCUCAACUACUGGUGUAGAGAGAACAAAUCUUCACUUUGUAUAAUGCGAGGACUUUAAGAAGUUUUGGGAAAUGGCUGAGAGGAAAAAAACACAAGGAAGCCAGCAGCCUGCCCCAACUUCUCUAUUUUCUAAAGUAUCUCUUACCAGAGACCCCCGGUGGGGCUCGGGAUAAAGCUUGCAAGAAACAGAAAAUGCAAGGGCUGGUGGCAUGGUGCCACACCUACGGCAAGGAGAACUGAGGAAUAUGGUCCCUGUCUGGGCAGCCACUUCCCUGCAUCACCUGCACACUAUGGAAGGAAGCAUGAUAAGUGGACUGCUAACCAUCUCUGGAUACAAGGGUAGCCGGCUCCACGCACUGACCGCAGCUCUGAGGCUGACACUUCCCUGAAGACCCAGAGUGUGGAUCGUCAGUCAGG
rnacentral:lncRNA from 1 species